AGGUAGAUGUGACUCUUACACUCUCCACAGACUUCUCAAGCUCUGACUCCUGGACAGAGGUCUUUCUUUGGGAAACUGCUGGGCUGGGUCUUCUUUCUGGGUUUUGAAGCACCCUUUCCGCACCCCUGCUCACCACACCUCCAGGACCUGAAUGAGCGUCUUCAGUCUGCAUGGUGGCAGAGCCCAGAGGGCACUGGCUUCAUUUACUUCUUCAUUUGCUCAGUCAACAAUGAGCUUGGUGCUGAGGACAGCCAGAGGGCAAGGCCAGAGUGAACCUGCUUUCUGGAAGCUCACCUUCUACUGGGACGUGGACAGGCAAGCAAGCAUAAAGGCUGGAGAGAUGGCUCAACGGUUAAGAGAACUGACUGCUCUUCCAGAGGUCCUGAGUUUAAUUCUCAGCAACCACAUAGUGGCUCAAAAACAUCUCUAAUGGGAUCCGAUACCCUCUUCUGGUGUGUCUGAAGACAGACAGCUACAAUGCACUCAUAUAAAUG
ensembl:antisense Gm10631 predicted gene 10631